AAGUCGUAACAAGGUUUCCGUAGGUGAACCUGCGGAAGGAUCAUUAACACUUUCAUUUUAUUGAAAAUUCAUUUUUUCAAUAAUUUACUUUACCCACAUUUUUGGAUGAAUUAUUUCUUUUUUAUUUUUUAUCAUUUUUAUACCCCAAACAAAACUAAUAUACUAUUAUUUCUAACAUUUACACAAAAAGUUUAAGAAAAAACAUAAAAAACAACUCUUAACAACGGAUAUCUAGGCUCUC
rnacentral:misc_RNA from 1 species